rnacentral:rRNA from 1 species
GACAGAGGGUGCAAACGUUGUUCGGAAUUACUGGGCGUAAAGCGCGUGUAGGCGGCUAAGUAAGUCGGGCGUGAAAUCCCACGGCUCAACCGUGGAAGUGCACUCGAAACUGCAUAGCUAGAGUCCUGGAGAGGAAGGUGGAAUGCUUGGUGUAGAGGUGAAAUUCGUAGAUAUCAAGCGGAACACCGGUGGCGAAGGCGGCCUUCUGGACAGUGACUGACGCUGAGACGGCGAAAGCGUGGGGAGCAAACA